rnacentral:rRNA from 1 species
GCCAGACUCCUACGGGAGGCAGCAGUGGGGGAUAUUGCACAAUGGGGGAAACCCUGAUGCAGCGACGCCGCGUGGGUGAAGGAGCACUUCGGUGCGUAAAGCCCUAUCAGCAGGGAAGAAGAUGACGGUACCUGACUAAGAAGCCCCGGCUAAAUACGUGCCAGCAGCCGCGGUAAUACGUAUGGGGCAAGCGUUAUCCGGAUUUACUGGGUGUAAAGGGAGCGCAGGCGGCCUGGCAAGCCUGAUGUGAAAUACCGGGGCCCAACCCCGGGGCUGCAUUGGGAACUGCCAGGCUGGAGUGCCGGAGAGGCAGGCGGAAUUCCUAGUGUAGCGGUGAAAUGCGUAGAUAUUAGGAGGAACACCAGUGGCGAAGGCGGCCUGCUGGACGGUGACUGACGCUGAGGCUCGAAAGCGUGGGGAGCAAACAGGAUUAGAUACCCCCGUA